GACAGAGGGUGCAACCGUUGUUCGGAAUUACUGGGCGUAAAGGGCUCGUAGGCGGCCAACUAAGUCGGAUGUGAAAUCCCCAGGCUUAACCUGGGAACUGCAUCCGAUACUGGAUGGCUUGAAUUCGGGAGAGGGAUGCAGAAUUCCAGGUGUAGCGGUGAAAUGCGCAGAUAUCAGGAGGAACACCGGUGGCGAAGGCGGGUCUCUGGGCCGAUACUGACGCUGAGGAGCGAAAGCGUGGGGAGCGAACAGG
rnacentral:rRNA from 1 species